rnacentral:misc_RNA from 1 species
GAUGAAGAACGCAGCGAAAUGCGAUAAGUAAUGCGAAUUGCAGAAUUCAGUGAGUCAUCGAAUCUUUGAACGCACAUUGCGCCCUGUGGUAUUCCGCAGGGCAUGCCUGUUCGAGCGUCAUUUCAACCCUCAAGCUCUGCUUGGUGUUGGGCCCUGCCCGCUGCGGCCGGCCCUAAAGACAGUGGCGGUGCCGCCUGGCCCUGAGCGUAGUACAUCUCUCGCUCCAGUACUCGGUGGUAGCCUGCCAGAACCCCAACUCUCGUGGUUGACCUCGGAUCAGGUAGGGAUACCCGCUGAACUUAAGCAUAUCAAUAAGCGGAGGA